rnacentral:lncRNA from 1 species
GCAACCCGUACGCAAAAACGCAGUUGCGUACACACUGAAAAUUUCACACAAAUAAAAAUAUGGUAAAUCUAGUAAGAACAAAACUAAAGUGAUGAAGUUAAUAAAAAAAAUAUACAAAUAUAUUAAUGAUCACUUUGUAGCUAUAUUCCGUUCCGAAAACUAGUCUUCCCUUUUCAUUUACGAAACCAGCAUCGUAAUUAUGUUGCUGAUGCAAACAAUUUAAAAUGGCUGGGUACUCCGGGUGUCAAAACACAAGUGUUACGUCUUCUAUGCCUCCUUACCCUGACAUCUUUUCUGAAGAUUCCAAAAUAACUAAUGAAAUAAAAUAUGACAUUCUUAAGAGAUCAUGGACAUCAAUUCAUUCUUAUGAAUUUCCUGUGAGGUAUGUAUAAGUCUUAAACAGUCUAGUCCAACUUAAGUUUAACGGGAGUGGUAAAGGGUAAUUUUCGCGCAACUGUAUUCACCUUUUUUUCAUUUGACGUUCAACUUUUUUUCCCAUUUUUUUUUAAAAUUUUAGUGCAAGACGGGUGCCUCUUUCGUUCAACAAGUUACAUGUUCCCAAAUUUAAAUAAAAGUGCGUAUACGUAUUUUCCAUGCUUUCAGUUUGAAAGUUUUUGUUUUCCGUAAUCCUAAUUUGAAUAAAAAAAAAAAAAAAAAAAUUCGCGAAGUACUGAUCCACCAUCCCAACCCCACCCCCUUUACUACCAUUU